UUGCACGCUGGCGGCAUGCUUUACCCAUGCAAGUCGAACGGCAGCGCGGGCUUCGGCCUGGCGGCGAGUGGCGAACGGGUGAGUAAUACAUCGGAACGUGCCCAGUAGUGGGGGAUAGCUCGGCGAAAGCCGGAUUAAUACCGCAUACGACCUGAGGGUGAAAGCGGGGGAUCUUCGGACCUCUCGCUAUUGGCGCGGCCGAUGGCAGAUUAGCUAGUUGGUGGGGUAAAGGCCUACCAAGGCGACGAUCUGUAGCUGGUCUGAGAGGACGACCAGCCACACUGGGACUGAGACACGGCCCAGACUCCUACGGGAGGCAGCAGUGGGGAAUUUUGGACAAUGGGCGAAAGCCUGAUCCAGCAAUGCCGCGUGUGUGAUGAAGGCCUUCGGGUUGUAAAGCACUUUUGGCGGGAACGAAAAGGACUGUGCCAAUACCACGGUUCGAUGACGGUACCCGCAGAAUAAGCACCGGCUAACUACGUG
rnacentral:rRNA from 1 species